GAGAGAUAAGCGACGUCGUUUGUUCAUAACAAUCUCCCUUCAGAUUAAUUUUGUUUUCGUUGCAUCAACUUUGGUGUAUUCCGUCCCAUCUUCACUUUAUUUACCAUAAAAUCUCUUAAAUUGAAAAACGUUAUAUUAAUGUUCCUCAUAUUAGAAUUUCAACAUACCUCCUACAAAUAUGAUACAUAUUUGUAAAGUUCUAAU
rnacentral:misc_RNA from 1 species